rnacentral:rRNA from 1 species
UACGUAGGGUGCAAGCGUUGUCCGGAAUUAUUGGGCGUAAAGAGCUCGUAGGCGGUCUGUCGCGUCUGCUGUGAAAACUCAGGGCUUAACCCUGAGCUUGCAGUGGGUACGGGCAGACUAGAGUGGCGGUAGGGGAGACUGGAAGUUCCUGGUGAUGAGCGGUGAAAUGACGCAGAUAUCAGGAGGAACACCGGUGGCGAAGGCGGGUCUC